rnacentral:rRNA from 1 species
ACGCACGCUGGCGGCGUGCUUAACACAUGCAAGUCGAACGGUAAGGCCCCAGCUUGCUGGGGUACACGAGUGGCGAACGGGUGAGUAACACGUGGGUGACCUGCCCCGCACUUCGGGAUAAGCCUGGGAAACUGGGUCUAAUACCGGAUAGGACCGCACCGUGAGGGUGUGGUGGAAAGUUUUUCGGUGUGGGAUGGGCCCGCGGCCUAUCAGCUUGUUGGUGGGGUAAUGGCCUACCAAGGCGGCGACGGGUAGCCGGCCUGAGAGGGUGGACGGCCACAUUGGGACUGAGACACGGCCCAGACUCCUACGGGAGGCAGCAGUGGGGAAUAUUGCACAAUGGGCGGAAGCCUGAUGCAGCGACGCCGCGUGGGGGAUGACGGCCUUCGGGUUGUAAACUCCUUUCACCAUCGACGAAGGUUUUCUGACGGUAGAUGGAGAAGAAGCACCGGCUAACUACGUG